CGAUAGCGAAACCUGAAGUGAAGUAGACGUCACCACUACAUCGCCGUCGUCAUCAUAUCAGCUUCACCUUCGCCAUCACAACAGUCAGUAUUCAGGAGUCACCAGUGUUUCCAGAACCAAUGUAACUGGAUGGCAAACAGAUGCCGGUUAUCAUAUGGGCAUUUAUUUCACUUUUUUACGCCUGACUCGUCUAUGCAGGGCAGUAUGGUUUUAUUUUCUCUCUCUGUUUUCUUUUUAUUCAAGACUAUUUGAAACGGACAUGCACAACCAUGAUGGUUUCAAUCAGUCUUAUUUUCCUUCUUCUCUUCUGAAAUGAAACGAACAUGGGUAACCAUGUUUGUUUCAGUCAGAUUAGUUUGUUUUACUGUGUAAUGAAAUGAAACGAACAUGGGUAACCAUGUUUGUUUCAGCCACUUUUAUUUCUUACAUUCUCUUCUGAAAUGAAACGAACAUGGGUAACCAUGUUUGUUUCAGUCAGUUAAAUCACAUAUUCUCUUCUGAAAUGAAACGAGCAUGGGUAACCAUGUUUGUUUCAGUCACUUAUAUCACAUAUUGUCUUCUGAAAUGAAAUGAACAUGGGUAACCAUGUUUGUUUCAGUCAGUUUUAUGUCACAUAUUCCCUUCUGAAAUGAAACGAACAUGGGUAACCAUGUUUGUUUCAGUCAGAUUUGUUUUCCUUAUUCACUUGUGAACUAAAACAAAUAUGUUUUCCCAUGUUUGUUUCAGUGAACAUAAUGUUUAAAAUUUCCUAUUAUUUGCAUAGGACCACUGGGGGGAAAUUAUUCUCACCUAAUCGGACGAUGGAAACUUCAGUAGCAUGUGCUUCAACGAGAAUUGAUUGCUGCCAUUGCUACCAACCGCAAAGGAUAUCGCAUUCGAUAGAACAAAGUAAUGCAUUCGAUUGGUCAGCCGACGUUUAAUCCUUCGCUUUACAAUUCAUGGUCAGCCCAUGACAGUACGAGUAACAGUUAUGGAACUCAGAUUCCAGUAAGCUGAGCCCCCCCGUGUGUCUGGCAUAACCCAGACAAUGCUUUGGUCGGCCCAUGACAGUACGAGUAACAGUUCUGGAACUCAGCAUUUUCCAGUUAGCUGAGCCACCCCAUGUGCCUGCAUACCCCAGACAAUUCAGAAUGCACAACGAGGCUCGGCGUUCUACCUUGCCUGUAUCAACAGCCCAUUUCCGUCCUAGAUGUUUUCCAGACGUUACAAUUUAGCAUUGGUUUUAAUCAACUAUGGUCGUUAUUUCAAUCUGUUUAUUAACAGUUAAAGAAAAACGUCACAUCCUGGCAUACAGUCCACGCGAUAAACAUGGAACGUAUCUGGCAACGCUUUUACCACCCCAGUUAAGGAUUUGUGUACAGAUACUUCGACGAAAAUUCAAUAAAAAAAAAAUGUAAUGUCGACAAGGAGUGGCCACGAGAAGUCAAGAAUGCCGGGCAACUUUUUUUUUAUCAUGACAAUGCUUGCAUCACUUUUUUGUCAAAAAUUCUCCGAUAAAGUAGUACACGCAUCAACACCGCA